CUGUUGGUUCUAAGUUCCAAAUCCAGGUGGAAACAGCCCUAGGUAGCACUCAGUGUGUUUCAGAGGCUAAUAGUAGAUGGAGCAGCUUUAUUUCUCCAUAGAAAUAUUUCCACUUCAGUGAAAUUUGCUGGCAAAUAUCUCUAAUAACAACAUAUAUUACUUUUUCAAAUUGUUACACUCCAAAAUGGCCAGAAAAGCAACUCUGUGCUCUUCAAGGGCUGCUCCAGCCUCCAGAAGUGCUCCCACAGCUGUCCCCCCAGGGGCUUGGUCCAGACCCUCACUGGCCAGAACGCAGUGGUGCAGCAUGGGUACUGAGAAGCUCCCAGGCCAAGCUGCAAAGGACCUACAUGAUGCUAAGAACUGGAACCCGCCGAACUCCUGAACUAGAUCUGUAUUUUCCUAAAAGAAAGCACAUCUGCUAAGCAGUGUCUUGCAUGAGAGUUGCUCCUGGGUUCACUGCUUUGCCUUGGUGACUAUCUUGUUUCAGGCAUGGUUAAGUACUUUGAUCAAAGAAGCGUGGGAACACCUGCAGCCAUCCUGGUGGGCUGGCCCCACACCUGGUGGCUUGGGGAGGGUGGCUGUAACACUCGUCAAUCAGCUGAAAAAGUGGGUGGUGAGGAGGACAAGGUUCAGGAGACCACCGAGUGGAGAUUUCAGGAAAUGCCCUGAGACCACAGGUGACAGGGGCCCCAUAAGCAUCCUCUGAAGGCCCUGGAUGCUCAGCACAUAUGAGAACACUAUGCAAACCUGCCCCUCUGUGCCCCUCUGAGUCAAGCACCCAGCUUCACCCUGGGGUUGGCCGCACAGCUUCAUCAGGGCCACAGCUGCCCAUGACAAUGCCAAUAGCAGCCAGUGUCUGCUGGUACGACCUCCCAUCAUGCCGGUAAGGGGCAGUGCCGCUGGCACGGAUGCCUUGGCAUCGCAGAUGGAAACAGCAGGUAAACAGCACUUGCCAGGCAGGGCUAUUCUCUUACUCCCGGCCCUCACCUUCUCCUUUGAAUCACAAAGGCGGUGAGACUGCAUUCACUUACAGGUUCCUAUUUAGGGCCAAGUUGCUCUGCCUUUCCAAAUCAGCAUGGGCCUCAGGCCCUGGCUCAGCCCUCCAGGCUCGACUUACCCGGCUGAUGAGCUGCUCGCCCGUCUCGGAGGCAGUGAUGAGUUUGCAAAGGGCUUGGAGGGCAGGAUUGGGCAGACCUAAACCAAGAAAAAAGGGUAGAAGUUAUUCAGAAGGGCCUCUGCACCCAAAAGCCUGCCACCUUCCCAGGGGAAAGAACCCUAAAUCCUUGGCAUCGGUGGCAUUUUUCAGAAGCUCAGCACAGCUAGACAUGUGUGUCUGUGUGUGCCUUGGAAAAGGACAGCGUGGUCUCCCAGGAAGGUGGGUGGAAGUGGGUUGAGUCCUGACCCUGCCGCAGUCCUCUAGGCGUGGCCACACUCCCAGGACCCAGGCAGCACCACCCCUAGUCAAGCACCCAGCUUCACCCUGGGGUUGGCCGCACAGCUUCAUCGGGGCCACAGCUGCUGAUGACAAUGGCAGUAGUGGCCAGUGUCUGCCGGCACGACCUCCCAUCAUCCCGGGAAGGGGCAGCGCCAGUGGGGCGCAGAUGCCUGCCAUCACAGAUGGAAACAGCAGGUAAAUGGCACUUGUUUCCUCCAGGUGUGGAGAUGCUUGUAUCUGGGACCCCCUGCCAUUUCUCAGGACACCCUCCUGCUCCUAGCUGGGAGAUCCAGCAUCCUCAUGAAUGCGGGGCCCAAGGCCACCAACUGUUCCACCUGCUGUCAGCCAGGCCUGUUGCCCCAGCCCUACACCCACAGCUCACCCAGCAGGGACUGGAGUGUGCUGCUGCACUGCUGGAGCCGGUCGCCCGGGUCGGAGGUUGGGAAGAAGACAGCCGCUGGCAGGCCACUGGUUGGGGGGUCCAGCCGGAAGCCCACAGCGGUGAGGAGGGCCUGCCAGCCAGGGAUGCCGCCCACUUUGUUCUCCACACUCUGCUGGGAUGUGUACAUGGCAUUGCGCUGCCCAUUCUGGAUGCGCUGCAGGGAUUUCUCCACCUGAGGGGGAAUUGGGGUAAACACUGGGAUGCCGGAGCUCAGGCAUCCCAGACAGGAGGAAGUGUGUACUCACACCAGCCAGGAGGAAACAAGCCUGCCUGGGAGGACAGACGAUCAGCCCUGGCUGUCCCUCAGGAGCGGGGGGCCUCCAAGGCACACUGCCCACUGGGUCAAGGAGUAUCCAGGAGGAGUUAGAAGCAUGACCCAUCUGCCUGGCACCAGCACCUGGGGCUGCCAGGCAGCCACCCCUGCAGCUGUGUUGACAGGACCUGGCAGAGGGACUGACCCACCUUUGGAAAAUGACACCAGCAAUAUCAGGAUGUGUCAACUGGAUUUAUGCUAAGAAAAUAGGAUUUUUGGUGUUCCUCUGUUUCCCAAAGUUUGAGACACUUUCAGACACUCUGCUUUGCGGUUGUGGCCGAUGUUACCCAUGGGUGGGACUUUUGCUUUGCUCUAGAUUUUUGUAACACCCUGGGGAGUUUCAGGGGCCAAUGCUGAGAGAAGACCACAGGCUGACACAUCAUGAGGUAUGUUGGUAAAACAGUCCCGGCUGGCCGAGAGGCCACUGAGGGAACAGGCCCAGGGUUUGGUUUGUACUCUGUGAGUCUUGGCCUGGCAGGGUUUCCUGCAAAGCAGAGUCCUCUGAGUGGGACCCCAGGGGAAGCAGGUUGUUGCCUGGAGCUGAGGGGCAGCUCUGUAUUCAGGAGGGGUGCCUGCCUUCCCAUCUCCCCUGUGACCAGAUGUCACAGAAACAUUCUCUCUUUACUCCCUAGACCCUCUGGGCAGGUCCACUAAGAGCAUGUAUUCUAGAACAUGCAGGGCUUGAAGCUUCACAAGAUAUUCAGUGCACUCCUUACAGAUCCUGUCAAAUGUGGACCGGGUGGUGUCAUCGCACCACCAUCAUCCCCUUGUUACCCCUGAGAACACAGCUUCAGAGAGGGUAAGUAACCUAUCUCAGGCCACACAGCCAGGACAUGGAGUAGAUCCAUCCUAAGUCUUUCUACCACACACUCCUUUCUACAGUCAUGGGUUAAAUGAGGGUGCCAUGGAAUGGGUCAUCCAGUGUACACUGACAUCAGGAGGAGUUUCACAUUCAUACACUCAUGGCAAAUGGUUCUGUUGCUCCCUGGUCCAAAGAUGAUCUUAAUAGUAGGAAAAACUCAUUUGGCAGAAGCAAGACUCAGCACACAGGCUCUCUCCCUGAGUCUUCUGUGGCUGGCCUUGCCCUGCCCUCCCCUCCCCAACCCCACUGGCAGAAUAAAGUCGGGGGGCUGUGAGGACUGAGCCCCAGGCCUUGACAGGCACCCGCAGCCAGCCGAACUCCCACCUGCCCAGUUGGAGGGGUGCGAGAAGGCCUUGCUGCUCUGCACCACCUUCAUGGCCUCCCCCAGGGCGGCGCUGGCUUUCAGGCCGUUCAGCAGGGAUGAGUAGAAGGCAUGGAUGAACAUCUUAGAAGCAGCCACUGGCACAGGCCACAGAGACACGAGGACACACUGAGCGCCGGCAGCCAGGAAGGCCCUUGUCAGCGCGAUGACCCCGUCGGCUGUGACUUUGCUGUUGGACUCCUGGGAGGAGCCAAGCACCACCAGCUUCACAGGCAGCUGCAGGUCCAGGACGUCGGCGGCAGUGCCUAACUUACUGAGAAUCAUGCCUGCUGUGAUGAGCCCUUGGAAACCAUCAGGACUGGAUGGUAGGGGUCCUGAGAGGAUUGGGGGAGGAGGCCUUGAUAUGACAGAGUGGACAGAGGCCGUGGAACCCAGGACAGCCAGCCUGCUCCACAAUCCUCAUCCCCACAGACCUUCAUGUGUGGCUCCUAAAUAAGAGGAAACCCACUCCUGAUAAGUCAGGGGCUUUGAAAAGUGAUUUUGUUUAAAUGGUGCAAACAAGCAAGCCAAUCUUGGGGAGACAGGGCUAAACUUAAGUCCUUUAAGAAGCUCUACAUACUGACAAGAUUCUAGUUCCCUUCCACCUUAUAUGCUGCAAAGUAAAAAGUAUCACUGAAUGAGAAAAUCAGCAUAAAGAAGCCCAAUAAUGUCUGCCUGAGUUUCCCCUAUGAUGACUUUUGGUACUUUUUGGGAAACAUUAAGUAUGAAGUUAUUUCAAAAUAAUUUUUUGGUGCCUCUGCUUGGUGAUGCCUUAAACUCUGGGUAAGAGAAACACCAGGUGCCUGUCAGGAGAUGGCCUUUUCCAGGUUUCUGGUUAAGCUACAAACAGCUAACUGGCUGCUGUCAUCAAAAUAAAAGCUUUCUGAAGGUGGAGGCAUCUGAUACCCAGAGUGCUGCUAUCAGCCGGCACGGUGGGCCGCUGGGUGGCAGGAGCGUCGAGAAGGCCAGCUCGCUUCCUAUCUGGGAUUCAGAAUCAGCUAUGGAAACUUGAGAGACCUAGAGAAAAUAACUUCUUUCACUUUGAACUGAUUCUUUGCUUCAUAAGAAAAGUAUUAUCCAGCCACAAAAAUGGUCAAAAUUCAGAUCUACAAAAGCCUGUCAGGCAGAAACUGACCCCACUUAGGCCACGCCAAUGAGCAAGUCAUCAAAGCAGCCAAGACAGGUCCUGUGGGGGCCACCCAUGCACAGGGCCCAGCCUCGGGUCCUAACCCCGCCUAUGCUUUCCGCCACCAUAAAGAGGCCCAUCUGGGUAAGACCUGUCCCGCCUGCUGUGGGGUAUUAGGGCAGAUGGGGUCUGAGGGGUCUGAGGGCUCUGAGAGCAGCUGGCAGCUCAAGGACAUCCGGAGUUGGAGGAUGGAGCAAUGCAGGCCCUUGUGGUAAAGACAGUCCUGCAGCCGCGCAGGCAGGGAUGCUGCAAGUGGAGUGCCAGGCGGGUGCGGAGCCCUGUGGGACUGUGGAGGGGUCAGAGGGAAGCCAGGAUUUUGGGGUCUCUGAGAGUUUGGAGAAGGGGAAGAAGAUUAAAGCUUGUUUCAAAAGUUUCUAAUCAGGUGGGCAGGGCCAAGGGUGGCUGUGGGGUGAGACCCAUGACUCAGGGUGGCCCACUGUUACUCUAUUGAUUUUUGGGCGUUUUUUUCCAAAUUGAUUAUUCUUGCUGAAUGAGACCUGAGUCCUUGACUGUCCCCUUAAAGCCACCUGACUUGUUUUCAGUUCCACUGGCCUGUCGGGCUGUUUUCUACUCAACUCCACUCUUGCUUGUCUGCCCUCCCUGCCUGGGGCCCAGCCAGCAGUCAGCUCAAGGGCCAGAUGAAUUGGGUGGCUGUGCUCUGCCCACUGGGCAUCGUGUGGAUGGUGGGUGACCAGCCCCCUCAGGUGCUCAGCCAGGCCUCAAGCCUUGCUGUGUACCUCAGAGCAGCUCCGUACCCUGAUGUCACAGCAAAGAAACUUAGACAUGACACAAACUGUGGCUUCCCAAGGCAGCAAAGAAUGGCCAGGGGUCAUGAGGGCCGUGCCCCACUUUUGGACAGACCUACUCUAAAGUCACGCUACCUGCGUGCAAAUCAUAAAAUCAACACUUUUGAGGAGAUCACAGCUAUGCCUUCGUAACACAGCCCAGUCCGACCAGAUAGACGGUGCCUCGUGACCCGAAAACAAGCCCCCGGCCCCCCACCAUGUGUGUGAGCCUUACCUUGGACUGCACGCUGAGGGAGCGGAUGGAAGGGACAGCAAGGAGGCCGAAGCGCUCGUAGAGGUACUCAUUGGAGGAGCUUCCCUUCAGGAGGGCGAAAGGAAUGAGGUAGAGCUCCCCCUCCAGAACCAGGAUGAGCUGCCGGUGCCGGCCCACGGGGCCGCUGGAGUGCAUCAGGCCCUAUGGAGCAAGCACGGAGAGGCUGACAUGGGUGGCCCAGCAGGCAGGGGUUUCAGGCACCAGGACAACCCUGAGCCCUAGCCUGGAUGACACAAGCACGAGCAGGUGAGGCCUGUGGGGGUGUGGGGCGCCAUGGGGCAUGGGCCGAGUUGCAGCCCUGCAGGAGCGGCACCAACUGGCAUGCUCGCUUGUGGACUGGCAAGGGCUGGCCUGGCAGCAUCCAUCUGCCUCACAGUCCUGAGAAGGUUAGAGGACAGUUUCUUGAAGUUCACAAGAACCUGAAGUGGGUUGGAGACCGGUCUGUACCGCACAGGCACCCUGAGAAGGGGUGGGAAUGGCCCCUCUCAAAACAAGAUCUGUUUUCCAUUUCAAUGGACAAGAGGCUAGAAAAUCACAGUGAGGACGGGAGGUCUGGGGGCUGGCAUGACAGCCCCUGUAGAAGGGGAUGGGCUGGGUUCUAGGAUCUUCCGUGACCUCCUCUGAGAAAGAGUGGCCCCUUGGCUCUGGGCUUGGGAGGUGCCGUCCCCACUUGUUCCCUCUGGGGAUGUCAGGGGACCCAAUGCAUGGAUGACUCCCAUCCCUCUUGAAAGGCCGAGCAUGAGGACUCGAGGCAGGGUGUGCACAGGGCCACAGCGGACACAGCCUCAUUCCUGUUCAUUGCAGAACAAGGCUAAGGGCGCGGGCAUCUUAAUGAGAGCAGCAGGCAACAAUCCUGGAAGCUGGGUCCACACAGACUGCGGUGAACAAAGAGGUGGCGUGGAAGCUGCUGCUGCAGCCCAGAGCCUGCCAAGAAGGUCCCAGGUCCACAGGGCCUGCGCAACACUGGGUGCCAGGGGUGGGGCUGGCCUGCCCCCCAACCCCAUCUGCUGAGGAGUGGCUGACAAGCGGACACCCACCAGGGUGCCACUCGCUUGUGCCUGGGGAAGCAAAUGUGCUCGCUUGACCCGUCUGAUGUGCUGCCGUGGGCACUUGACUGAGAGUGGCAGAGCACUAGGCUAACCCAAAGUGACACAUGCCUGGCGGGAUGUUCAGUCU
ensembl:lncRNA TTC28-AS1 TTC28 antisense RNA 1